UGUGAAGGUGUGGUCUGCACCUAAUUACUGCUACCGCUGUGGCAAUGUCGCUUUAUAUUGAGUUUCGAUGAAAACAUGGAAAGGGAUGUGAAGUACUUCAACGAGACAGAAGAGAACAAUCAAAUGAGAGGGCCAAGGACUGGAGUUCCGUAUUUUCUGUGAUGAAACGACGAUUAUAGUUUGACGUGAUGAUUUGAUGAGGAAGCGAUUGCUAUCAUUGGCAAUAUGGUCAGGUCUCAAAAAGGUUUAUUAUGUAGAUAUAAUACUUAUCUACUGAUGGAUUCACUUAUUAUUGUACUUGCAAUUUUUUGUCCCUCUAGGUAAACAGUUUCCUUUGUGAAAUUCAACAUUCAAGGCUUUAUAGUUUUAAGUAUUUUUUUUUCUUUUUGUUUUCCCCGAUUGUUUCUUCUGUUUUGUUUACUUACACUGUUUCCUCCUUGCUUAGUUGUUGUUGUUGUUGUGAAGAUGACAUUACUUCUAAAAAUAAUUAAGUAUCUUACGAAACUCGCAA